rnacentral:tRNA from 1 species
GCAUUGGUUGUUUAGUGGUAGAAUUCUCACCAGCCACCCAGGAGGCUGCAGUAGAAUUCUCACCUGUCACCUGGGAGGACCGGGUUCGAUUCCCAGCCAAUGCA